rnacentral:rRNA from 1 species
UGCACCGAAGCUGCGGCAGCGACACUCAGGUGUUGUUGGGUAGGGGAGCGUUCUGUAAGCCUGCGAAGGUGGCCUGUGAGGGUUGCUGGAGGUAUCAGAAGUGCGAAUGCUGACAUAAGUAACGAUAAAGCGGGUGAAAAGCCCGCUCGCCGGAAGACCAAGGGUUCCUGUCCAACGUUAAUCGGGGCAGGGUGAGUCGACCCCUAAGGCGAGGCCGAAAGGCGUAGUCGAUGGGAAACGGGUUAAUAUUCCCGUACUUGGUGUUACUGCGAAGGGGGGACGGAGAAGGCUAUGUUGGCCGGGCGACGGUUGUCCCGGUUUAAGCGUGUAGGUGUGUGUUCCAGGUAAAUCCGGUUCACUUUAACACUGAGGCGUGAUGACGAGGCACUACGGUGCUGAAGCAACAAAUGCCCUGCUUCCAGGAAAAGCCUCUAAGCAUCAGGUAACAUCAAAUCGUACCCCAAACCGACACAGGUGGUCAGGUAGAGAAUACCAAGGCGCUUGAGAGAACUCGGGUGAAGGAACUAGGCAAAAUGGUGCCGUAACUUCGGGAGAAGGCACGCUGACACGUAGGUGAAGUGAUUUACUCAUGGAGCUGAAGUCAGUCGAAGAUACCAGCUGGCUGCAACUGUUUAUUAAAAACACAGCACUGUGCAAACACGAAAGUGGACGUAUACGGUGUGACGCCUGCCCGGUGCCGGAAGGUUAAUUGAUGGGGUCAGCGCAAGCGAAGCUCCUGAUCGAAGCCCCGGUAAACGGCGGCCGUAACUAUAACGGUCCUAAGGUAGCGAAAUUCCUUGUCGGGUAAGUUCCGACCUGCACGAAUGGCGUAAUGAUGGCCAGGCUGUCUCCACCCGAGACUCAGUGAAAUUGAACUCGCUGUGAAGAUGCAGUGUACCCGCGGCAAGACGGAAAGACCCCGUGAACCUUUACUAUAGCUUGACACUGAACAUUGAGCCUUGAUGUGUAGGAUAGGUGGGAGGCUUUGAAGUGUGGACGCCAGUCUGCAUGGAGCCGACCUUGAAAUACCACCCUUUAAUGUUUGAUGUUCUAACGUGGACCCGUGAUCCGGGUUGCGGACAGUGUCUGGUGGGUAGUUUGACUGGGGCGGUCUCCUCCUAAAGAGUAACGGAGGAGCACGAAGGUUGGCUAAUCCUGGUCGGACAUCAGGAGGUUAGUGCAAUGGCAUAAGCCAGCUUGACUGCGAGCGUGACGGCGCGAGCAGGUGCGAAAGCAGGUCAUAGUGAUCCGGUGGUUCUGAAUGGAAGGGCCAUCGCUCAACGGAUAAAAGGUACUCCGGGGAUAACAGGCUGAUACCGCCCAAGAGUUCAUAUCGACGGCGGUGUUUGGCACCUCGAUGUCGGCUCAUCACAUCCUGGGGCUGAAGUAGGUCCCAAGGGUAUGGCUGUUCGCCAUUUAAAGUGGUACGCGAGCUGGGUUUAGAACGUCGUGAGACAGUUCGGUCCCUAUCUGCCGUGGGCGCUGGAGAACUGAGGGGGGCUGCUCCUAGUACGAGAGGACCGGAGUGGACGCAUCACUGGUGUUCGGGUUGUCAUGCCAAUGGCACUGCCCGGUAGCUAAAUGCGGAAGAGAUAAGUGCUGAAAGCAUCUAAGCACGAAACUUGCCCCGAGAUGAGUUCUCCCUGAGACUUUAAGUCUCCUGAAGGAACGUUGAAGACGACGACGUUGAUAGGCCGGGUGUGUAAGCGCAGCGAUGCGUUGAGCUAACCGGUACUAAUGAACCGUGAGGCUUAACCUU